rnacentral:rRNA from 1 species
GGGCGUUAAGUUGCAGGGUAUAGACCCGAAACCCGGUGAUCUAGCCAUGGGCAGGUUGAAGGUUGGGUAACACUAACUGGAGGACCGAACCGACUAAUGUUGAAAAAUUAGCGGAUGACCUGUGGCUGGGGGUGAAAGGCCAAUCAAACCGGGAGAUAGCUGGUUCUCCCCGAAAGCUAUUUAGGUAGCGCCUCGUGAAUUCAUCUCCGGGGGUAGAGCACUGUUUCGGCUAGGGGGCCAUCCCGGCUUACCAACCCGAUGCAAACUGCGAAUACCGGAGAAUGUUAUCACGGGAGACACACGGCGGGUGCUAACGUCCGUCGUGAAGAGGGAAACAACCCAGACCGCCAGCUAAGGUCCCAAAGUCAUGGUUAAGUGGGAAACGAUGUGGGAAGGCCCAGACAGCCAGGAUGUUGGCUUAGAAGCAGCCAUCAUUUAAAGAAAGCGUAAUAGCUCACUGGUCGAGUCGGCCUGCGCGGAAGAUGUAACGGGGCUAAACCAUGCACCGAAGCUGCGGCAGCGAACGUAUCACCCAAGACAACUUUACGGAGUUGACGAUUGACGGAGCGAAGCGACGUCAAAGCGUUCAUUAAAGUCGAGUUGGCUUAGGGAUACGUUCGUUGGGUAGGGGAGCGUUCUGUAAGCCUGUGAAGGUGUGUCGUGAGGCAUGCUGGAGGUAUCAGAAGUGCGAAUGCUGACAUAAGUAACGAUAAAGCGGGUGAAAAGCCCGCUCGCCGGAAGACCAAGGGUUCCUGUCCAACGUUAAUCGGGGCAGGGUGAGUCGACCCCUAAGGCGAGGCCGAAAGGCGUAGUCGAUGGGAAACGGGUUAAUAUUCCCGUACUUGGUGUUACUGCGAAGGGGGGACGGAGAAGGCUAUGUUGGCCGGGCGACGGUUGUCCCGGUUUAAGCGUGUAGGUGUGUGUUCCAGGUAAAUCCGGUU